UGGGGAAUAUUGGACAAUGGGCGAAAGCCUGAUCCAGCCAUGCCGCGUGAGUGAUGAAGGCCCUAGGGUUGUAAAGCUCUUUCACCGGUGAAGAUAAUGACGGUAGCCGGAGAAGAAGCCCCGGCUAACUUCGUGCCAGCAGCCGCGGUAAUACGAAGGGGGCUAGCGUUGUUCGGAAUUACUGGGCGUAAAGCGCACGUAGGCGGAUUGUUAAGUCGGGGGUGAAAUCCCGGGGCUCAACCCCGGAACUGCCUUCGAUACUGGCAAUCUAGAGUCCGGAAGAGNUGAGUGGAAUUCCGAGUGUAGAGGUGAAAUUCGUAGAUAUUCGGAGGAACACCAGUGGCGAAGGCGGCUCACUGGUCCGGUACUGACGCUGAGGUGCGAAAGCGUGGGGAGCAAACA
rnacentral:rRNA from 1 species